rnacentral:misc_RNA from 1 species
GCGCGGCAUGUUUUUUUUCUAUUUUGCUGCUCUUGUCUCUGUGUUUGCGCCUCUCCUCCCCUGCACCGUCGGCGUUGUGUUGUGUCGCGUUGUUGCACUGUGUAUUACACUGUGCUCCUGCUCAUCCUCCCCCCUCUCCCCUCCCCACCACCAACACCGCACACGGCAACGGCCUCAGUCUCUCUCUCUCUCUCUGCACGCGCCUGCGCGUGCUUUUGCUUCAGCCUCACGUAAGGAUCCUCGUCUCGUGUUCUUUCUCUGUAGCAGCUGCGUUGCAGAAGUCCCAACCGCCACCCAUCUCACCACAACGCCUCCAUUCGCAUCCGUCGUGCUCGCCAUCCUCCUCGUCUUGCACGUUGCCUCGGCCUGGAAAGGCCCGACUUCCCCAGCUUCUCGACGCUUCUUGACCGUCCCUCACACGCACACAAACGCAUUCGUCGCCGUCGCCAUGUCGGCGGUUUCCCGCAACGGCUGCUCAGGAAGCGGUCGUGCUUGACGACCUCACACUCGGCAGUGACCCCUUCACGUUUGAUCCCUUUUGCUGCUUGCGGGAGCAACAGCAACGCGUAUCUGGCGUGCACAAAAAAUUUGCUUGGGCCCAGAUCCGAGGUUGCUGCGCGGUCACGACACCGGCCGCGAUGUCGGCUAUCACGAUGGCUGGGGCGCGUACCACGGCACCAUCGUCCCUCCUCCCCCCCCCGAGGCUUCCUGACGCACCCGCGGUGUCGUUUCAAGCCCAUCGCGCUCACCCGCGCCGGCCUGGUGGACCACUCUGACGCCCAUAAGUUCACAGCCCACUACUGCAAGGGGACAAUACGCAGUGGCUCACGGCUGGCGGUGGCGUGCAGCACGCGGAGAUGCUCCUCCUGCUGCACGCGAGCAAGCCCAACACUGUGCAGUUGUUCCACAUGUGUGUGGGUGAGCCUGAAGCGCAAGAAAAAAAUGUGCACGCCGUACUUCAAGCUCUGGAAGGAGGCGGCAGCCAUGGCGCCGCUGGCACUCCACUGGUGCUGGACAUCAUCGACAAGUCAGCAGAGUUACUUGAGCUACAGGAGCGGGCUCAUCGGCGAGCCUGUAAUGUAGCGAGGCCCAUUCGUGGUCAGCACGCGAGCAGAAAUUCCGGAGUGUUUCGAAGUCCCACCGCUGCACCCGGUUUGGCGGCGUUUGUUAAACCAGUGAUCACGUGCACCCCGCGAUAUGCCGCCUGACGCAGUGCACGUGGAAACGCGCAAGGAACUCGCGCCGAGGAAGAAGCCGGACGCACAAGAAGGCUCUGGAAGGGAAAUGAAAUGGCCAACAGUGGGUGGUGUGCCAUCGGCGAUUGAGUGCAGACGUCUUCGCACCUUCUCACCUGCCCUUGUAAGGAUUCUCAGCUCUUUGUGUGUGUGUGUGUGUGAGGCGUGCGCUCACCCUCCGCCAUCGCCACUCCCUCAUUACGGCGACGCUUUCGUUUCCUCGCACGCUUACCUCCUUUGUUUCUCCCCUCUAUUUUGUUAGCGUGCACGCGGCUCCUCUCCUACCAUGCAAUUUCAUCAUCGCCGUCGCCAUCGCUCUCUUCCUCUACCGGCGCCCGACUCAGCCACACGUCAUUACGGAGACCACCAGACAUAUCGGACGCUUCUCUCUCUUGAAGGAGAUGUGCGUCAGCGCGCGUUCGUACGCGAGCAUCUCUUUUACUGUGGCGCAGUGGCACACCCUUCACGCCGUCCACGUCGACCUCCACUUAAAUGCGCGGGUCCCUGCUGUCUUCCCUCUCCCUCCCCCUCCCUCCGCAAGCCGACGCGCGUGGGGCGUGACUCUUGCCGCUGUGCCUGCUGCCACUGCGAUCAAGCGUGUUCGUAGGUGGGCGAUCUUGCUCUACGGCCACCCCUGCAUCCAAGGAGGCAGCAGGCGAUUGCUCUUGUCAUCACUCCGUCCUUCAUGCGUACGCUCUGUUCCUGUAUCCGUGAUGUACACAUGGAGGGGUGGGGAUGGAGAUGCGAUCCAUGUGUGCGCCACUGACAGAAGUCCGGGGGAGAAAACAAAUUCCAAAAGAGACACGCAAAGUGAACGCGCACGACGCGUCGAGGGAGCGGCAGCGACCAACAGCGGUGCUCUACCUCUCCCCGACCGUGCCAUUCUCCAUGCAGACGAGGAGAUAAGGAUGGCAGAGGAAAAACGGUCGCAAUGCCAAUAUCUGCAUACAUACAUACAUACAUAUAUAUGUGUGUGUGUUUGUAUUUGCAUUUGUAUGUGUAUACGCUGUUCUCAACGUGGUACUUCGGUAGUGUGCCGCCCAGACGUGCGGGGCACGUGGAGGAAUCGGAGAUGUACGAGACGCACAUUCCACCUCCCGACUUGUCAUCCGACAACCUCUUUCUUUGCCCUCUAUCGCUACGUCUCGUCUCUGCCGCGAAGC